rnacentral:rRNA from 1 species
AGUGAACGCUGGCGGUAGGCCUAACACAUGCAAGUCGAACGGCAGCACAGUAAGAGCUUGCUCUUACGGGUGGCGAGUGGCGGACGGGUGAGGAAUACAUCGGAAUCUACUUUUUCGUGGGGGAUAACGUAGGGAAACUUACGCUAAUACCGCAUACGCCCUACGGGUGAAAGCAGGGGAUAUUCGGACCUUGCGCGAUUGAAUUAGCCGAUGUCGGAUUAGCUAGUUGGCGGGGUAAAGGCCCACCAAGGCGAGGAUCCGUAGCUGGUCUGAGAGGAUGAUCAGCCACACUGGAACUGAGACACGGUCCAGACUCCUACGGGAGGCAGCAGUGGGGAAUAUUGGACAAUGGGCGCAAGCCUGAUCCAGCCAUCCCGCGUGGGUGAAGAAGGCCUUCGGGUUGUAAAGCCCUUUUGUUGGGAAAGAAAAGCAGCAGGUUAAUACCACGCUGUUCUGACGGUACCCAAAGAAUAAGCACCGGCUAACUUCGUG